GACGAAGGAUGCAAGCGUUAUCCGGAUUCAUUGGGUUUAAAGGGUGCGUAGGCGGACUUGUAAGUCAGUGGUGAAAUCUCUCAGCUUAACUGAGAAACUGCCAUUGAUACUGCAGGUCUAGAGUAUAGAUGACGUGGCGGAAUAUGACAUGUAGUGGUGAAAUACUUAGAUAUGUCAUAGAACACCGAUUGCGAAGGCAGCUAACGAAACUAUAACUGACGCUGAGGCACGAAAAGUGCGGGGAUCAAACAGG
rnacentral:rRNA from 1 species